rnacentral:rRNA from 1 species
UACGGGGGGAGCAAGCGUUGUUCGGAUUUACUGGGCGUAAAGGGCGCGUAGGCGGUCUUGACAAGUCACUUGUGAAAUCUCCGGGCUUAACUCGGAACGGUCAAGUGAUACUGUCGGACUAGAGUGCAGAAGGGGCAACUGGAAUUCUCGGUGUAGCGGUGAAAUGCGUAGAUAUCGAGAGGAACACCUGCGGCGAAGGCGGGUUGCUGGGCUGACACUGACGCUGAGGCGCGAAAGCCAGGGGAGCGAACGGG